rnacentral:lncRNA from 1 species
CGUACGCACGCACUUGCCACAAGGAGACGCUGUUCAGUUUACCGGAUCCUGUCCCGCGCCAGCCAACCAGGACAAGGCCGGGGAGCUCGAGACAGGCAGCCUAGACCAAGAACCGGAAGGAGGAAAAGGAACCGGAGGGAGGAAGAGGAGGGGCGGGACGAGACCACCAGUCUCCCGCAUUGACUUCAUAACCAAGUUCUGGGUCCCUGCCUCUGGAGUGCCUGAUGAGACAAAACGGCUCCUCGUCCUGCAUCCCCGCUGCUACUUCCAGAAUUCAGGCCUCGUGGUCUGGAGCCUGCACUGUUCCAUGAGCCUCCUGAGCAACCUGGAGUCCUCUGUCUUUCUUCCCUCAGUGAGAUGCGCCUACUUCUCCCUGGAGAAGCUUGAGGAAGCAGAAAUGCUGGAGAUGAGCUGCUCCUCACUCUCACUCCUGGGUGUGCUGGGCAGUGGGGUGCAAUGUGCACGUAGGUGCACACUCUCCCUGGGCGGCAGCGAGCAGCAGAGGUCUGAUCUGUGGUCGGAUGACGAGAGGAAGUGCAAGUAAAGCAGCUGCAGCGAGACCUCGUCCGCACAGGGGCUUGUUCUUCUGUGUCUUUGCAGGGCUGUUUUGGACUCAGUAUUCACCUAAGCACUCCAAAUUGGUCGUGCGGAUGUGCGAUGUAGGAGGAGGAGAGAGGUAAAGUGGAGGAAUAGGAGCUGGAGGGGAGGAGGAGAGAAGAAAAGAGGAGAAGGAGGGGGAAGAGAGGGAGCGGGUUCAAGGAGGGAAGGAGGAGGAGAAGGAGAGGAGGAGGAGAUGAGACCAAGGAGAAGAGGUGAAGGAGGAGAGGAGGACACAGAAAAGAGAAGAAAGAGGAGAGGAGACGGAGAAGAGGAGGAGGAGUAACAAAGGAGGAAGAAGAGGAAGAGGACUAGAAGAGCAAGUAAGGAGGAGGAGGGGGGAGUAGGAGGAGAGGAGAAGGACAGAAGGGGAAGGAGAGGCAGAUGUGGAGGAGAGGAGGUGGAGGACAGGAGGGGAUGAGAAAGAGGAGGAGAAAAGGAGAGGAGAG